GCUCAGCAGACCACGUUCCUAACGUACAACAACAAAAAAUACGAAAGGGAGUUUUUGUGUUUGACUGAAGGAAAAUCUUACGCUGAAUUUUCUUGCUUGACUUUGAUUAAAAUCCCACUUGAAUGGCCUCACCGUGUGUGUGGAUGCUGUUGACCACCCUAUUGGUAAUCACGUCUAAUGGCCUGUCGGAAGCUUGACAAACCAGAAACAUGCACCGUGCGAGGGGUGGAGUACAAGCUGUUUGAGCCUAUCAGGGGUGUCAUUAAAGACCCCUGCUCUGUCUACAUCUGCGUAGCAGACGACACUCUAAGGAAACUCAACGAUG